AUCAGGGAGGAGCAUCCACUUCUGGUUCUGUCCUUCAAGUUCAGAUGGAGAUUGAGACUUCCAGUACUGUUGAGAGGGCUGCAACUGAGAUUCCAGUAGCCAGAGGAGACCAAGUUAUUGAAGAUGGAGAAACCUUACCAACACAGUGCAGUGUUGUCCUUGACACAACAAUGGGAGAAUCAACUUGACCUUGCAUUGGAUGAAGGGAAAGCUUUUUGAGUGUAUGAA
rnacentral:lncRNA from 1 species